rnacentral:rRNA from 1 species
AUUGAACGCUGGCGGCAGGCCUAACACAUGCAAGUCGAACGAGUGGCGGACGGGUGAGUAAUGUCUGGGAAACUGCCUGAUGGAGGGGGAUAACUACUGGAAACGGUAGCUAAUACCGCAUACCAUCAGAUGUGCCCAGAUGGGAUUAGCUAGUUGGUGGGGUAAAGGCUCACAAAGGCGACGAUCCCUACCUGGUCUGAGAGGAUGACCAUCCACACUGGAACUGAGAAACGGUCCAGACUCCUACGGGAGGCAGCAGUGGGGAAUAUGGGACAAUGGUCGCAAGCCUGAUGCAGCCAUGCCGCGUGGAUGAAGAAGGCCUUCGGGUUGUAAAGUACUUGCAGCGGGGAGGCGUUACCCGCAGAAGAAGCACCGGCUAACUCCGUGCCAGCAGCCGCGGUAAUAC